UUGAACGCUGGCGGCAGGCCUAACACAUGCGAGUCGAGCGGAUGAAGGGAGCUUGCUCCUGGAUUCAGCGGCGGACGGGUGAGUAAUGCCUAGGAAUCUGCCUGGUAGUGGGGGAUAACGUCCGGAAACGGGCGCUAAUACCGCAUACGUCCUGAGGGAGAAAGUGGGGGAUCUUCGGACCUCACGCUAUCAGAUGAGCCUAGGUCGGAUUAGCUAGUUGGUGGGGUAAAGGCCUACCAAGGCGACGAUCCGUAACUGGUCUGAGAGGAUGAUCAGUCACACUGGAACUGAGACACGGUCCAGACUCCUACGGGAGGCAGCAGUGGGGAAUAUUGGACAAUGGGCGAAAGCCUGAUCCAGCCAUGCCGCGUGUGUGAAGAAGGUCUUCGGAUUGUAAAGCACUUUAAGUUGGGAGGAAGGGCAGUAAGUUAAUACCUUGCUGUUUUGACGUUACCAACAGAAUAAGCACCGGCUAACUUCGUG
rnacentral:rRNA from 1 species